rnacentral:lncRNA from 1 species
UAGGAGCCGUGCAGAAUGUUGGGAGAGUUCUGACUUCCAUUCCUCAUUGGUGGAAGGCAGCCCCGGGGACACUGUCUACCCUGCACCUUCUGGCAGAUGUGGCCUGCAAGGAGGCUGAGCAGGCUCCGGCAGCACCAGAAAGAGCCUCAGGUCGGGGGAGUUGGCUGGCAGGAAGCUAUGCUCUGUCUGAAACCUAGAGGACAGCCUUUGCCAGUCUUCAUGUCCCCUGGGGUCACGGUUGGAUAUAGUGGCUCCAAAGAGCCUUGGACCUUGGACACAAGCUUAUCUGUGCGUUGGUGCUUCUCUGGGAAGGAGGUCUAUUGCCUUCAACAAAAUCCUCAAAGGGAAACACAACCUUCCACAGCUUGUGGAUCUCUGCCCUGGGAGGUGUCAUGGUAACCAAAUAUUUUUAAGAUGGUGAUCCCAAGGACAGACGUCAUCGUGGAGUUACCUGGAACACAAGGACCUUCAGCUUGGAUGUAC